rnacentral:rRNA from 1 species
UACGGAGGGGGCGAGCGUUAUUCGGAAUUAUUGGGCGUAAAGGGCGCGUAGGCGGCUGAACAAGUCAAAGGUGAAAUCCCUCGGCUCAACUGAGGAACUGCCUUUGAAACUGUUCGGCUUGAGGCCGGGAGGGGGUAGCGGAAUUCCCAGUGUAGCGGUGAAAUGCGUAGAUAUUGGGAGGAACACCAGUGGCGAAGGCGGCUCGCUGGGACGUGACUGACGCUGAGACGCGAAAGCGUGGGGAGCAAACAGG